GAUGAACGCUGGCGGCGUGCCUAAUACAUGCAAGUCGAGCGGUAAGGCCUCUUCGGAGGUACACGAGCGGCGGACGGCUGAGUAACGCGUAGGAACGUACCCCAAACUGAGGGAUAAGCACCAGAAAUGGUGUCUAAUACCGCAUGUGCUCUAAGGAGUAAAGCUUCGGCGGUUUGGGAACGGCCUGCGUACGAUUAGAUUGUUGGUGAGGUAAUGGCUCACCAAGUCGACGAUCGUUAGCUGGUCUGAGAGGAUGAUCAGCCAGACUGGGACUGAGACACGGCCCAGACUCCUACGGGAGGCAGCAGUAGGGAAUUUUCCACAAUGGGCGAAAGCCUGAUGGAGCAACGCCGCGUGCAGGAUGAAGGCCUUUGGGUCGUAAACUGCUUUUAUCUGUGACGAUUUUGACGGUAGCAGAUGAAUAAGGAUCGGCUAACUCCGUGCCAGCCGCCGCAGUAA
rnacentral:rRNA from 1 species